rnacentral:lncRNA from 1 species
UUACUGACCACGGGCCCGAGUCUGAGCGACCGCGACACAGUGAACCCACACGUCUCUCUAGAACGUGCUUCCUCAUCUGCUCACUGUCCGUCAGCCUCACGCCAGGCCACUUAGACAUAAGGGCUCCCGCGUCCAACGCUGAAUUUUCAAAAAUAGAAUGAAUCACAAGAAUUUAAUAAAUAAUGGUAUUUGGUGUUAAUUAAUGAAGCUUCAAAAUAGACAAGCGAUUUUGAAGGGAUUACUAAACAUCACGUUUUUAUUUUCUUUUGGAGCCAAACCGGAAAGUACUGCCAGGAGAAACGGCCGCCCUGGGUGUGCUUGGAUGAGGUCUUUCUCCCACUAAUUGUUAGAAAACAGCCGGCAGGUUCCCCAGGGCUGGUGGCCGGGCAGUGCGGCCCUGAGGGCCCCCUCCUUUGCCCGCAGCCCAGGGCCUGGAGGGAGGGGGGCCACCCGCUGAUGUUGAAGCUGGAGGACGGGGCCAGGAGCCAACGACUGCAGCUGCAGAAGCCGGAGAUGGCCAGGGACGUGAUUCCCCGAGUGGCUCCAAGAGAGAGCACAGCCUUGGCCAGCCCUCGAUUUGGGUCCGUGAAACCGACGGCUGACGUCUGCCCUCCGGAGUUGGGCGAGAAUGACUGUGGGCUGUAAUAAGUCACCACGUCUGUGGCCAUGGGUCACAGCAACCAAACAUACAGCAUCCUUGGUUCAUCCCACCGGGAGCCAUCUUUUUCCUUCUCACCUUCAUGUCUCCCUCUCCCCUCAGCAAAGAACCUGCUUGUUUGCUCUCCACAUUGAUUAAGCACUUCCUGUAUGCGGGCACAGCCCCUGCUCCUUCCGAACACGCUGCCGGGCACUUCCAUGCACACGGUCACGUGUAUUCCUCACAGCCCGUGGGGAGACACCAGGGUGCGAUGCCGGGUGGGCACUCGCUCCCCCUGGAAAAGCCUUCGGCGCACCAAGUCUGAGCUGACAUUCAGGUCCCUCAGUGCGCACAAGAGCUGCGAAUGGCGGUCCCGAAGCAGCCUGUGCAUUCUCUAAAGACAUUGUAUGGCAGGUGGAAAAUGCCCGUCAAUGGCUGUGACUUCCUAUGUGAAGCGGGGUCCGGCUUGGGCGCCUGCUGACCACCCCGGGGCCCUUGGACAGUCGGUCUCUGUUUCUGGGGUGCCGCCUCCCUUGUCGACUCUCUUAACCCCGCUCUCACGCCUGUCAACAGUCCCUUUGCCAAAGUCCUUCCAGAAAAUCGUUUGCGCGUGCCAUCUGUUUCCUGCUGGGACCAUGACAGAAGUGAUUUGGAAAGGAGACAAGGAGGGCAGUGGCCCAGUCCAGAGUUCAAUGGAGGAGCACACCAGCAGCGGUCACAUCUGCUCCUCACUGACCUUCACAGCCACCCUGGCAGGAGGCCACUGGCGUCCCACUUCAGGGACAAGGACACUGAGGCUGUCCCGAGGUCACCGGUAGAGUCCAGUGUGGGGCCUGAGUCCCCGAUUCCAAAGCCCCAUACCUCCUCCGCAGGCAAGGGAGAUGCCCGAAAAGAUUCCGAGGUAGGAUGGGGAGAGGGUGCUCCCAGGCCAGCAGGCCUCAGGGCUGGGGCCGAGGGUCUCCGUGGAACAGAUCUCAUCAGUGGCAGCACUGCUUUAGCCAUUCUUGGCGAAACGGGGUUUCCUGAAAAGGGAGAAAGAGGCUGCUGCAAAAGGAAGCAAAUUCAGCAAGACCAGGAGACGCAGGAGGAUGAGAAGAAGGGAGGCCACACUUUGGGAAAUGUGCUUUGCAGGGGCAGCGCCACGUCCAGAAAUUUCUGAGGCUGCACCAUCACCCCAACCUGGGUCUGAAUCCUCAUUCUGCCUCUCGCUGGUGCGUGACCUUGCCAAGUGUCCUCAGCUCUCUGGGUCUCACUACCUGUGGAAGGGGGAUCUCUUACCCAGCACAGUUUCGGGAGCUGGGGGACCACGGUGCAGGGCAGCGGCCGACUCAGGCUCGCGGUCUGGGAGGCGAGGGCAGCUCAGUGUUCUGGAUG